AAUCUCGACUGUUUUGGUAAAUUGAUUAAGAGAAUAUUUUAAGAGACUAGGGUUUUUAUUUCUCACAAAAGAAAAGAAGAGAAAACAGCCGCACUUAAACCUUUGAAACCUAGAUGCCGUGGAGGAAGUAGAAGAAGGAAGACGAUCGAAAGGUGUUGUUACUGUUUGGAGGGUUACAAUUGCUGCGAAAUCAGAGGAUGGAUGGUCGUGGUAGACGGAAUAUUGGAGGACACGGUCAUGGUAGAGGUUGUGGCCGACGGAGUGAGGAUUUUGUUGAGGAUUCUGUGGAAGAAAGUAACUUACGCACUGUUGGUAGUAGAUCUGGUAGUAAAGAUAAGUCUAGGUCCACAGGUAGCUAUCGAUCUUGCAGGACUAGGUCCACAGGUGGUUCUCGAUUUAUUAGGACUAGGUCCACAAGUGACACUCGAUCUGUUCGUAUCGGGGAGGGUGGGCCAAAUGCCUUUAACACUAGAGAAUCUCCGGGCAAUGCUGAAUGAUGCAGUCACAACGACAUUAUAUCAGAGGCUUGGUCCACGUGGAGGUAUGGAAACUAGGGAACCCCCAACAAUGAAUGGGCUCGUAAUUUAGAAAGAAAUACGAAAUCUUGGGUUCAGUACUACCAAGAUUUUCUAAAGAUGAAACCCCCUUCAUUCAUAGGAAAGGGAGGUGCAACUGAAGCACAUCAGUCGUGCACCAAAGUGGAUAGGAUACUAGCUCAGUUUGAUUGUUCCGGUGCUUAUAAGCAGAGGAUGUCCGCUUUCUUAUUGGAGGGGAAUGCAGCAACAUGGUGGGAGUCAAUGAGUAGGACAGUUGAUGCCAUGGAGGUUACUUGGACAAGAUUCAAAGAUAUGUUCCUUGCACACUAUUUUCCCCCGACUGAGCGUCAAGCUAUGAUUAAACAUGUUUGAAGAGAUAGAGCAGAAGGAAAAUCAAUUAGUGGUCGAAUACGAGUGCGAAUUUGAUCGUUUGUCGAUAUUUGCUGCUCAUCUUAUUCCUACUGAAGCAGACAAGAUCGAAAGGUUUUUGCGUGGAUUGCAUAAUGGGAUUGCUCGACACAUCAUUGGGAACCCAAGUUUUAACACUUAUCCCAAAGUGGUGAACUGUGCUAGGGAACAUUGCUUAGGAAUCCAAGAGGCUAGAAAAAAGAAAGUAGAACUUAAGAGAAAUGAGAGACCUAAUGAAGACGGAAGAAAUAGUUGAAAGAAGCCAUGAGAAGAUGAGAAGAUCAGUAAUCAUGGUGUAGCAACUCAAGCACCUCAACCACUAAGAAUCAUGGAAGAAGAGAAACCUUAUAUUUUUAGAGGGUAGUGUUACAAAUGCGGAAAACAUGGACAUAAAUCUCCCGACUUCCCAAUUAAAAACAAGCCCGGAGUUGCGAAUAAUGAGAAAGGUCGUGAAGUACCACUAGGGCGAGAUCAACCCAGAAUAAAUGCUAUGUUACCUCGUGGUGGUGGUGAACAUGUUGUCGAGAUGGAGGAAACGGUGAUUGUGGAGCGACCUAGCUAGUUGAUUGCAUUACCAAUUCGAAAAGAAAUUCCGUCAUUUUCUUAAGGUGUUUAAUUAGCUAUUUUAUUAUUUUCUUUUAAGACCAGACUUUCAUUUCCUUUAAAUAUUUUUUAGCAUUUAUUUGGGAGACCGACCUUCGAGUCGAGGAUAAGUUUUGUUUUAAAGAGUUUAUGAGACCGUAAAACUUUAUCAGUUUUAUUAAAUAAAUUCAUUUAUUUAUGGAUUA